rnacentral:rRNA from 1 species
GAUAAACGCUAGCGACAGGCUUAACACAUGCAAGUCGAGGGGCAGCAUAAAAGUAGCAAUACUUUGGUGGCGACCGGCGCACGGGUGAGUAACGCGUAUGCAACCUACCUAUCAGAGGGGAAUAACCCGGCGAAAGUCGGACUAAUACCGCAUAAAACAGGGGCACCGCAUGGUGAUAUUUGUUAAAGAAAUUCGCUGAUAGAUGGGCAUGCGUUCCAUUAGGUAGUUGGUGAGGUAACGGCUCACCAAGCCGACGAUGGAUAGGGGAACUGAGAGGUUGGUCCCCCACACUGGUACUGAGACACGGACCAGACUCCUACGGGAGGCAGCAGUGAGGAAUAUUGGUCAAUGGGCGGGAGCCUGAACCAGCCAAGUCGCGUGAAGGAAGAAGGAUCUAUGGUUCGUAAACUUCUUUUGCAGGGGAAUAAAGUGCAGGACGUGUCCUGUUUUGUAUGUACCCUGAGAAUAAGGAUCGGCUAACUCCGUGCCAGCAGCCGCAGUAAUAC